ensembl:lncRNA
GAGCGGGGCCUCCUCCAAUCAGCUGCAGGCCUGAGUAGAACAAAAGACAACCCCCACCCCCAGUGAAAGAGAAUACCUCUCACCUGAAGUCUUCAAACUGGAACAUGAGCUCCUCUUGGUUCUACGUAGCUUCCAGCCUUUGGACCUGACCUAGGACAGUGGGUCUGCAAAUUUUGGGCUUGACAGCCUCCAGCUGGUGGAAAGAGGUACAGGCCCUGGGAGCAGGACAAGAGUGCCUGACCAGUGAGGGUCAGGGCGAAGCAGGGAGGAGGUCAGCCUGUGGUCCCCGAGAGGGUCCAGGCUGGAUACUGAUCCUUGUCGCUGUUGACCAAAGCAGAGGGCAGGCUGUGUGCCACGUGGCAGGGGGAUCCCCAGGGGUGCAGCGGGCAGCAGAACCAAGUGUCUCAAAGGGAAUCCAGGCAGAAAGUGACGGGGACUGAGCCAAGUCUGGCUGUUGUAAGGUCAGAGAGAGGAGGGGAGACUCAGACAAGAUCCUGUAACCAACCAGGUGUGGGAGGUAAUGUGUGGGUGAGACAUUUUCCACGGGCAUCCUCAGCAUCAGAGAGAAGACCCAAAGCAGGUGUGGCCAGGCAAGAAGCUGGCUGUUCACACCUGCGUGAGGCUGGUCCCCAGGACACAGGCUGGAACCAGAGGCAGCAGAGCAAGCCGAGUAUUAAUAACAUGGUUGGAGACGGCGGCCUCAAUCUUAUCUGAGCUCGAGAGGAGUCUGGCUCGUUAUCCUGUCUGCCGCCCUCAACUUAUCUGAGGAACCACACAGUGCGGAUUCAUCCUUCAGCCCCAGCGACCCUUCCCUCCUUGGAAACCUGAGAGUCUUCGCUUCAAACACGGCCCUCCGGGCCAGGCAUCCGAUGGGCCUGGCUCCCCUCUGAUCUCCCGGAGCCUGGGAGCCGGGGGUCCUGGCAGCUGGAGUAAUUCUAUGCCUGCAAUCUGGCUUCUUUUCUUUUCCUGGACAAGAUUUAUAAGGCAGGGUAUAGUCUUACCGCAGUCAUUCCCAGGAGAGGCCCUGAACCCCUGAGUCUCCACAGCCCCUUUCAGCUCCUUGCAAGUUCACGUUAAGAUGGGCUUUUAGAUAAAGUGAGGUUGAUACUUAGGGCAAACCAAAUUUGCAUGUGAUUGAGAAACUGCCUUCCACAACUCGAAGGAUGGUGUCAUAGCCCUCUGGAGGGAGGGGAGUAGGGAGAGGGGAGCUGUGUCUACCCGCCAGGCUGUGU